UGGGGUGUAGCUUAGUGGUAAAGCACUUGCCUAGCAUGCAUGAGGCCCUGGGUUCAAUCCUCAGCACCCAAA
rfam:Ictidomys tridecemlineatus contig058270, whole genome shotgun sequence.